rnacentral:rRNA from 1 species
UACGUAGGGUGCAAGCGUUAAUCGGAAUUACUGGGCGUAAAGCGUGCGCAGGCGGUGAUGUAAGCCAGUUGUGAAAUCCCCGGGCUCAACCUGGGAACUGCAUCUGUGACUGCAUUGCUGGAGUGCGGCAGAGGGGGAUGGAAUUCCGCGUGUAGCAGUGAAAUGCGUAGAUAUCGGAAGGAACACCAGUGGCGAAAGCGGCUUCCUGGUCCGACACCGACGUUCAGGCACGAAAGCGUGGGGAGCAAACAGG